rnacentral:rRNA from 1 species
UAUAAUAUAAAAUUCAUUUAUUAUAGUUAUAAAUAUAAGAAAUUUAAUUUCUAUCUAAGUAUAGCAAUAGAAAUAUUCAAAUAUUAAAAAGUAAAUAUAU